rnacentral:lncRNA from 1 species
AUCUACUCAACACAGGAAGAUGGAACCAGCUCUUCAACGUUACCACCACACUCACAGACCACCUGAGACCACUUCACUCCACCAGCCCAGACACCUGUCUGAGACACCAGGACUACUACACGGGCCAUCGGUCCCCCCUUGGUACAGGAAGAUACCACCACAAGACAUCCUACAGCAGGCACUCCCACUAUACAGGGAGGCAGAGCAGACCAACAGAACAGGACCGAACAGCUCCUGUACCUCUACGUAGCACCUCCAACCCAGAGGACCACCACCACACAGAGAAGAUUGAACACCACCAUGAUCUGGGACCUCCACGCUACACAACGGCUUCCAGACACUCCAGGGUAUCCAGAAACCCACCUACCUCCAGAGAAACACCUCCCCAGCGGCGAACUGAUCCACCUCUGACUCAACACCACCAAUGCAACACCUCCGGAACAGAGACUACGCCCCACACCGGCAGCAGCUUCAGCCAAGCCGCCGAGGCCACAACUACUACUACGGGUACCAUGAACUACUCACCAGUCCCCAGCCCUUCUCCUACCCUAAGACAAGACACCAGGAGCACCAACACAGAGGACUCCACACCAGCAGCACCGAGACCCCUCUUCACGACACCAGAGGAUAUCUCCUCCUCCUCUUCCCUACCAUCAUUCCUGCAGCCCAUCACUCCUGUCCACAACCGUAGAACUACUGAACAGCGACCCAGAGAGACCCCACUAUAUGGGACCUCCACCCUCUUCCACCCCAGUGUCAAGACAACAGCUAAGCUGAUCUCCAGACUCAUCAGAGUGAGACACCACCUGGAAGCAACCAGCGAACACCUCUCCGGAGGCCCUCUACCACCUGGCUACCAGACCAAGACAAGGGAACUGAUAGCCCUCUUCACCCCACCUAGAGCAUCAAACGACACCCUCGACAAACUAACCAUCGCCACCACGCAAUGGCUCAGAAGGAACCAUGAGAUCCUGGAGAGAGACUACAGGAACGAGACAAUACACCCACCACAUCCUCUUUGACAACACCAACUGCACCAACUGGACAGAGGCCUGGUACCUCGGCAGCAGAUGGGCAGAAGAAGUCCUUCAAAGACCCCCACUACUACCUCUUCUGGAGAGCCUGCGGAACUCCCUCCCUCUAACCGAGACUGGCCAACCAGAGACAACGGCCAAUUCAUCCCCCCCCCAGGCAGCGAAGCAGAGGGCGACUCACCUCUCCAGACCUCUCUACACGCCACCCCAACUGAGGAGAGACCUACUUCGCCAUACCAAGGCCUGAAACGGCCCCUCUCCACAGAAGAAGAUCCGGCAGGACCAAACUUCGAUCCUCCGAACAAAGCCACUACCUCCCACACCACGGAAGAACCCGACAAGACGCCCACAGACCACUACUAGAGGACGCAAAAGAACCCACAAGACCAACAGGGCCUUUACCCCCUCUCCAGAUCCUGACAGAACCAGCCACUUACAGAACAAGACUGCACCUGACCCACCGCCGACCACCAGUACAGCCCAGACCAGGAAGACCGCACCUGAGGAAACCAAGGCUCAACCUACUACCUCUGAGCCCACAACACUCCACCCGACCCUGGACAGAGACCACCACCUACCAGAACCUACAGACCCGCCAGCAACAACUACCUGCAAAAAAAACAAGAAACGACUCAACCAGUACUCCAAGAUACGCCUGGUACCUCUCCAAAAGACCAAGCCCCCUCCACCCUCAAGCCUAUCCACCGGCAUUGCAGAGACCAUCAACCAACUCGCCGCACUAGAAGACGGGCUC